rnacentral:rRNA from 1 species
GAUGUACGCUGGCGGCGUGCCUAAUACAUGCAAGUCGAGCGCAGCGGGGACGGGUGAUUAACCCGUGGAUCACCUCCUAUAAGACUGGUAUAACUUCGUGAAACCGGAGCUAAACCGGACACUCAUCGAUGGAUCCGUACUGGACUAGCUAGUUGGUAAGGUAACGGCUUACCAAGUCAACGAUGCCUAGCCGACCGGAGAGAGUGAUGGGCCAAACUGGAACUGAGACACGGUACAGACUCCUACGUGAGGCAGCAGUAGGUAAUCUUCCACAAGGGGCGAAAGCCUGACGGAGCAACGCCGCGUGAGGGAGGAAGGUCUUCGGAUCGUAAAACUCUGAUAGUAGGGAAGCGGUACCUAAUCAGAAAGCCAAGGCUAACUACGUGCCAGCAGCCGCGGUAAUUC